UUCUCCCUGCACUGUUGGUGAUCUUCAGUGUGUGUUGAGCCAACUCCCAUAAAAAGGGCAACUCCGCUGGUGGCUGAAGGAAAAUCGUUCUGCGAAUUUCCCGAUGCCAUUAUGAGGUGCCCACCUAUUCAUUUAGGUUUAACUUUCCUGGUGACACGGCAGUGUGGGGAAGAU
rnacentral:other from 1 species